rnacentral:rRNA from 1 species
UACAGAGGGUGCGAGCGUUAAUCGGAAUCACUGGGCGUAAAGGGCGCGUAGGCGGCUCGGUAAGUAGGGGGUGAAAUCCUGCGGCUUAACCGCAGGGCUGCCUUCUAAACUGUCGAGCUUGAGCACGGUAGAGGCAGAUGGAAUUCCCGGUGUAGCGGUGGAAUGCGUAGAGAUCGGGAAGAACAUCAGUGGCGAAGGCGGUCUGCUGGGCCGUUGCUGACGCUGAGGCGCGACAGCGUGGGGAGCAAACAGG